GCCGGGCGUGGUGGCUCACGCCUGUAAUCCCAGCACUUUGGGAGGCUGAGGCAGGUGGAUCGCCUGAGGUCAGGAGUUCAAGACCAGCCUGACCAACGAGAUGAAACCCUGUCUCUA
ensembl:misc_RNA Metazoa_SRP Metazoan signal recognition particle RNA